UACGUAGGGUGCAAGCGUUAAUCGGAAUUACUGGGCGUAAAGCGUGCGCAGGCGGUGAUGUAAGACAGGUGUGAAAUCCCCGGGCUUAACCUGGGAACUGCAUUUGUGACUGCAUGGCUGGAGUGCGGCAGAGGGGGAUGGAAUUCCGCGUGUAGCAGUGAAAUGCGUAGAUAUGCGGAGGAACACCGAUGGCGAAGGCAAUCCCCUGGGCCUGUACUGACGCUCAUGCACGAAAGCGUGGGGAGCAAACAGG
rnacentral:rRNA from 1 species